rnacentral:rRNA from 1 species
UACGGGGGGGGCAAGCGUUGUUCGGAAUUACUGGGCGUAAAGGGCUCGUAGGCGGCCAACUAAGUCAGACGUGAAAUCCCCAGGCUCAACCUGGGAAUUGCGAUGGAGACUGCAAGGCUUGAAUCUGGCAGAGGGGGGUAGAAUUCCACGUGUAGCAGCGAAAUGCGUAGAGAUGUGGAGGAACACCGAUGGCGAAGGCAGCCCCCUGGGUCAAGAUUGACGCUCAUGCACGAAAGCGUGGGGAGCAAACAGG